rnacentral:rRNA from 2 species
AUGCAGUCGAGCGAAUCUGAGGGAGCUUGCUCCCAAAGAUUAGCGGCGGACGGGUGAGUAACACGUGGGCAACCUGCCUGUAAGACUGGGAUAACUCCGGGAAACCGGGGCUAAUACCGGAUAAUAUCUAUUUAUACAUAUAAUUAGAUUGAAAGAUGGUUCUGCUAUCACUUACAGAUGGGCCCGCGGCGCAUUAGCUAGUUGGUGAGGUAACGGCUCACCAAGGCGACGAUGCGUAGCCGACCUGAGAGGGUGAUCGGCCACACUGGGACUGAGACACGGCCCAGACUCCUACGGGAGGCAGCAGUAGGGAAUCUUCCGCAAUGGACGAAAGUCUGACGGAGCAACGCCGCGUGAGUGAUGAAGGUUUUCGGAUCGUAAAACUCUGUUGUUAGGGAAGAACAAGUAUCGGAGUAACUGCCGGUACCUUGACGGUACCUAACCAGAAAGCCACGGCUAACUACGUGCCAGCAGCCGCGGUAAUACGUAGGUGGCAAGCGUUGUCCGGAAUUAUUGGGCGUAAAGCGCGCGCAGGCGGUUCCUUAAGUCUGAUGUGAAAGCCCACGGCUCAACCGUGGAGGGUCAUUGGAAACUGGGGAACUUGAGUGCAGAAGAGGAAAGUGGAAUUCCAAGUGUAGCGGUGAAAUGCGUAGAGAUUUGGAGGAACACCAGUGGCGAAGGCGACUUUCUGGUCUGUAACUGACGCUGAGGCGCGAAAGCGUGGGGAGCAAACAGGAUUAGAUACCCUGGUAGUCCACGCCGUAAACGAUGAGUGCUAAGUGUUAGAGGGUUUCCGCCCUUUAGUGCUGCAGCAAACGCAUUAAAGCACUCCGCCCUGGGGAGUACGACCGCAAGGGUGAAACUCAAGGAAUUUGACGGGGGGCCCGCACAAGCGGUGGAGCAUGUGGUUUAUUUCGUAGCACCGCGAAGACCCUUACCAGGUCUUGAACUUCCUUCUGACAAUCCCUAGAAGAUAGGACUUUUCCCCUUCGGGGGACAGAG